CCUACGGGAGGCAGCAGUGGGGAAUAUUGCACAAUGGGCGAAAGCCUGAUGCAGCAACGCCGCGUGAGGGAUGACGGCCUUCGGGUUGUAAACCUCUUUUAGUAAGGAAGAAGAACUUCGGUUUGACGGUACUUGCAGAAAAAGCACCGGCUAACUACGUGCCAGCAGCCGCGGUAAUACGUAGGGUGCAAGCGUUGUCCGGAAUUAUUGGGCGUAAAGAGCUCGUAGGCGGUUUGUCGCGUCUGCUGUGAAAUCCGGAGGCUCAACCUCCGGCCUGCAGUGGGUACGGGCAGACUAGAGUGCGGUAGGGGAGAUUGGAAUUCCUGGUGUAGCGGUGGAAUGCGCAGAUAUCAGGAGGAACACCGAUGGCGAAGGCAGAUCUCUGGGCCGUAACUGACGCUGAGGAGCGAAAGCAUGGGGAGCGAACAGGAUUAGAUACCCUGGUAGUCCAUGCCGUAAACGUUGGGAACUAGAUGUAGGGGCCAUUCCACGGUUUCUGUGUCGCAGCUAACGCAUUAAGUUCCCCGCCUGGGGAGUACGGCCGCAAGGCUAAAACUCAAAGGAAUUGACGG
rnacentral:rRNA from 1 species